UGGGGAAUUUUGCACAAUGGGGGAAACCCUGAUGCAGCGACGCCGCGUGAUUUAGAAGGCCUUCGGGUUGUAAAAAUCUUUUCUAUGGGAAGAAAAUGACAGUACCAUAGGAAUAAGGACCGGCUAAUUACGUGCCAGCAGCCGCGGUAAUACGUAAGCUCCGAGCGUUGUCCGGAAUCAUUGGGCGUAAAGGGUACGUAGGCGGGUAAGCAAGUUAGAAGUGAAAUCCUAUAGCUCAACUAUAGUAAGCUUUUAAAACUGCUCAUCUUGAGGUAUGGAAGGGAAAGUGGAAUUCCUAGUGUAGCGGUGAAAUGCGCAGAUAUUAGGAGGAAUACCGGUGGCGAAGGCGACUUUCUGGCCAUAACCUGACGCUGAGGUACGAAAGCGUGGGUAGCAAACAGG
rnacentral:rRNA from 2 species